UGAGCGAAUUAGUUGUAGGGCUUCUCUCCGAUGGCAGGAAAUAUUAAUGGUCAUGAAUCAUGGAAGCAUGGAUUUUUGUGUUCUCUCAUGAGUUAUGACCUGCCAAAGGAGAGUUGCCCUACGACUGCUUUUGCUUA